CAACAUGUUCUAAUGCUUGCCUAGCUGCUAGCGUGGCACGACCUCAUACUCUGCUUCUGACUGCCUGGUAUUCCUGAUCUAGGUACUACACAUGUGCGUCUCCCAAAAAAGAUGGAAUAGAAGUGAGAUGCGUCACUCUGUAGCCAAAACAGAGAGCACAACACACAGGGUGAAAAGAGGAGCUGCAGCAAUGUGCAGUACAACAAAAAUAUG